rnacentral:rRNA from 1 species
UGAGCGGCCGAUGUCUGAUUAGCUAGUUGGUGAGGUAAAGGCUUACCAAGGCUUCGAUCUGUAGCUGGUCUGAGAGGAUGANCAGCCACACUGGAACUGAGACACGGNCCAGACUCUACGGGAGGCAGCAGUGGGGAAUUUUGGACAAUGGGGGNAACCCUGAUCCAGCCAUGCCGCGUGAGUGAAGAAGGCCUUCGGGUUGUAAAGCUCUUUCAGCCGGGACGAAAANGUUUCGGUUAAUACCCNNNNCNAAUGACGGUACCGGAAUAAGAAGCACCGGCUAACUACGUGCCAGCAGCCGCGGUAAUACGUAGGGUGCGAGCGUUAAUCGGAAUUACUGGGCGUAAAGCGUGCGCAGGCGGUUUUUUAANCAGAUGUGAAAUCCCCGGGCUUAACCUGGGAAC